UACAGCCAUAUCACUUGAAACACUGGUUCCCUUACAAUCACCAAAGUUAAGCAAUGUAGAGCCUGGUCAGUACCUAGAUGGGUGACUACUUGGGAAUACCAGGUACUGUAA